CAGUAGUCACGAGUUUGAUCCUGGCUCAGAUUGAACGCUGGCGGAAUGCUUUACACAUGCAAGUCGAACGGUAGAGGGGGCAACCCUUGAGAGUGGCGAACGGGUGAGUAAUAUAUCGGAACGUGCCCAGUCGUGGGGGAUAACGUAGCGAAAGUUACGCUAAUACCGCAUACGAUCUAUGGAUGAAAGCGGGGGAUCGCAAGACCUCGCGCGAUUGGAGCGGCCGAUAUCAGAUUAGGUAGUUGGUGAGGUAAAGGCUCACCAAGCCGACGAUCUGUAGCUGGUCUGAGAGGACGACCAGCCACACUGGGACUGAGACACGGCCCAGACUCCUACGGGAGGCAGCAGUGGGGAAUUUUGGACAAUGGGCGCAAGCCUGAUCCAGCAAUGCCGCGUGAGUGAUGAAGGCCUUCGGGUUGUAAAGCUCUUUUACUCGGGACGAUAAUGACGGUACCGAGAGAAUAAGCCCCGGCUAACUCCGUG
rnacentral:rRNA from 1 species